rnacentral:lncRNA from 1 species
ACUCACCAAGUUGCUCCCUGUCUAGAAACCUCUGCCCUUUAAACUUUACUUUUGCAAUACACCGUCUAACAAUGGCUGCAGCUCCAAGUGAGUCCAUACCCUCUGUAAAUAAGGCCUGGGUCUAUUCAGAGUAUGGAAAAACUUCUGAUGUUCUCAAGUUUGAUCCAAGUGUGGCUGUUCCUGAAAUUAAAGAGGAUCAGGUGCUGAUCAAGGUUGUUGCUGCUUCUCUUAACCCAGUUGAUUUUAAGAGGGCUCUUGGUUACUUCAAGGACACUGACUCUCCCCUACCUGUGAGUUCACCCCUCUUUCUUCUUUGAUUUUCCUCACUGCCUUUCUUUGUUAUUUGGGUUGUGAUUUAUGUAUUUGUUGAACCUUCCGAAAUUCAAUCCGAAGAUGGUAUCUUAAUUUCUCUUUCGGGCAGUGUGAAAUAUUGUUUGGUGCUGUUUGAUCUUUCUAUAGAACAAAAACGCCAAAUUAACGAUCAUUUAUUAUUAAUUACCACCGAUGAAGUUAAAUUUUUACAUCCUCCAUUGUUUAAUAAACAAAGACAUCAGAAAGUGUGAAAGGAUGAUACAUGUGCAAUAUGCAUAUUUAUUUAGUUUAAUUUGGUUUCCAAUUUGCAGACAGUUCCAGGUAUGAUCACAUUUCAUCUUAUAUUUUCUUGUAAGAACUAGGAACCUUUCUAUUUUCUUAUUGUUUCAAAAGAAGGUACCUGUAUUAGUAUGUGUGUUCAUUUAUUUCAUUUUGGUUUGCAGACAAUUCCAGGGUAUGAUGUAGCUGGUGUGGUGGUAAAGGUAGGAAGCCAAGUAACCAAGUUUAAGGUGGGGGAUGAAGUGUAUGGGGAUCUCAAUGAGACAGCAUUGGUGAACCCAACAAGGUUUGGGUCUUUGGCAGAGUACACUGCUGCAGAUGAAAGAGUAUUGGCUCACAAACCCAAAAACCUGAGCUUUAUUGAAGCUGCUAGCCUUCCCUUGGCUAUUGAAACUGCCCAUGAAGGGCUUGAAAGAGCUGAACUUUCUGCUGGUAAAUCCGUCCUUGUUUUGGGAGGCGCUGGGGGUGUUGGAACACAUAUUAUUCAGGUACAUUCUGAUUUCAUUAUCUUCCUACUUGGUUAAAUUUCAACAUGUAAUACUAUUUUUGGCUUCAAACAUUUAAAUUAAGGAUGUGUACUUUAAUGUGAUGCAGCUUGCAAAGCAUGUUUAUGGGGCUUCCAAAGUAGCAGCUACUGCAAGCACUAAGAAACUGGAUUUGUUGAGAACCUUGGGUGCUGAUUUGGCUAUCGAUUACACCAAGGAGAACUUCGAGGACCUGCCAGAGAAAUUUGAUGUAGUGUAUGAUGCAGUUGGUAAGAAUCUUCUGCUCCCUCUUGUUGUCUGCAUAAGCUUUUUCUGUAGCUAGUACAGUUAUCUUUUCUGUGUUGAUCUUUCGUUUAUCACUGGAAACCUAAAUAGAACAACUGAUGAUGGAGAGGGUGUAGAAUUAUCAUGCAUGGAUAAUCUUAUAUGGAUAUAAUCAAACUGAUCGAACAUUUGAAUGUAUCUAUAGCAAAUUAGCAAUGAAUGAAUUAGAAGACUUUAGCGACUGAUGUUGUAUUUGUAAAACAAAAAUAGGGGAGACAGAUAAGGCUGUGAAGGCGGUGAAAGAAGGUGGGAAGGUUGUAACAAUAGUAGGUCCAGCAACGCCACCGGCUAUCCUUUUUGUGCUUACCUCUAAAGGGUCUGUGUUGGAGAAACUGAAGCCUUACUUGGAGAGUGGGAAGGUGAAGCCAGUUCUUGAUCCCACAAGUCCAUAUCCCUUUACUAAAGUUGUUGAAGCAUUUGGUUACCUUGAGAGUUCCAGAGCUACCGGAAAGGUGGUUGUGUAUCCCAUCCCAUGAGGUUGAGAGUGUAUGUGUGAAUGAUCUAUGAGACUAUGAUUGUGUAGAGUCCAU